GAUGAACGCUAGCUACAGGCUUAACACAUGCAAGUCGAGGGGUAACGAGAGGAAAGCUUGCUUUCCUUGUCGACGACCGGCGCACGGGUGAGUAACGCGUAUCCAACCUGCCCCCAACUAAGGAAUAACCUUGCGAAAGUAAGACUAAUACCUUAUAAUUUCCUCAGAUGUCAUCUGACGAGGAAUAAAGAUUUAUCGGUUGUGGAUGGGGAUGCGUCUGAGUAGCUUGUUGGCGGGGUAACGGCCCACCAAGGCAACGAUAAGUAGGGGUUGUGAGAGGAAGGUCACACACAUUGGAACAGAGACACGGUCCAAACUCCUACGGGAGGCAGAAGUGAGGAAUAUUGGUCAAUGGGCGAAAGCCUGAACCAGCCAAGUAGCGUGCAGGAUGACGGCCCUAUGGGUUGUAAACUGCUUUUAUACAGGAAUAAAGUUAGCCACGUGUGGUUAUUUGUAGGUACUGUAUGAAUAAGGACCGGCUAAUUCCGUGCCAGCCGCCGCAGUAA
rnacentral:rRNA from 1 species